CGAGUCAUUGUAGCAAUACAAGGCAUACGGCUCAGUAACGCGUAGUCCACCUAACCUAUGGACGGGAAUAACCUCGGGAAACUGAGAAUAAUGCCCGAUAGAACAUUAUGCCUGGAAUGGUUUAUGUUCCAAAUGAUUUAUCGCCGUAGGAUGGGACUGCGGCCUAUCAGUUUGUUGGUGAGGUAAUGGCCCACCAAGACUAUUACAGGUACGGGCUCUGAGAGGAGUAGCCCGGAGAUGGGUACUGAGACACGGACCCAGGCCCUAUGGGGCGCAGCAGGCGAGAAAACUUUGCAAUGUGCGAAAGCACGACAAGGUUAAUCCGAGUGGUUUCUGCUAAAGAAACCUUUUGUCAGUCCUAGAAACACUGAUGAAUAAGGGGUGGGCAAGUUCUGGUGUCAGCCGCCGCGGUAAAACCAGCACCUCAAGUGGUCAGGAUGAUUAUUGGGCCUAAAGCAUCCGUAGCCGGCUCUGUAAGUUUUCGGUUAAAUCUGUACGCUCAACGUACAGGCUGCCGGGAAUACUGCAGAGCUAGGGAGUGGGAGAGGUAGACGGUACUCGGUAGGAAGGGGUAAAAUCCUUUGAUCUAUUGAUGACCACCUGUGGCGAAGGCGGUCUACCAGAACACGUCCGACGGUGAGGGAUGAAAGC
rnacentral:rRNA from 1 species